AACGCACAUUGCGCCCCUUGGUAUUCCAUGGGGCAUGCCUGUUCGAGCGUCAUUGACACCCUCAAGCUCUGCUUGGUGUUGGGGCCGUUGUCGUUUCCUCGCCCCCCAGCGACACAGCGACACCCCUCAAAGUCAUUGGCGGCCUUUCUGCCCAGCUUCCCGCGCAGCAGUUCGCGCUUCGGAGACUACUUUGGCAGGCUGGCAUCCAUCAAGCUGACCCUUCAUGCUUGACCUCGGAUCAGGUAGGGAUACCCGCUGAACUUAA
rnacentral:misc_RNA from 1 species